UUAACUCAACUUUGUAUGCAGUUGGAACAGCGCCCCUAGCGGCAAACGUAGGCAAACGUUCCAACUCCAUACAAAUUUGAGUUA
rnacentral:pre_miRNA from 1 species